rnacentral:lncRNA from 1 species
GGGUAUCAUUGCUAGAUGGUCACUUCGAUUAGUACAGAAAUUGGUUCCUGUGCUACCAGCUUAGGUUCGAACCUGUGGGGUCACACACAUUAGAGGUUUCUAUCUGAUCUGAUGGCUGAUGAAGAGUCCUAAUGCUCAUGGACUAUGAGUCCUAUGUGUCUGGAACUCUGUGAUCGAGAAUCAAGAUUCUCUGAUCAUG